GGGGAUUUAGCUCAGCGGCAUAAGCUCCUGCCUUGCAAGCAGGCAGUCCGUGAGUUCGAUCUCCAGUACCCA
rfam:Cavia porcellus supercont2_25 genomic scaffold, whole genome shotgun sequence.